rnacentral:rRNA from 1 species
UAGGGGAGGAAAUUAUUGACGUUACCCUACGAAUAAGAGGUUGCUAAACUCGUGCCAGCAGCAGCGGUAAUACGAGUGCCUCAAGCGUUAUCCGGAAUCAUUGGGCGUAAAGGGUGUGUAGGUGGCUCUGUUAGUCUCUUGUUAAAUUCUUCGGCUUAACCGGGGGCAUGCAAGGGAAACGGCAGAACUAGAGGAUGCGAGGGGUCUGCGGAACUCAUAGUGUAGCGGUGAAAUGCGUUGAUAUUAU